rnacentral:rRNA from 1 species
CAGCAGCCGCGGUAAGACAGAGGAUGCAAGCGUUAUCCGGAAUUAUUGGGCGUAAAGGGCUCGCAGGCGGUUUCUUAAGUCUGAUGUGAAAGCCCCCGGCUCAACCGGGGAGGGUCAUUGGAAACUGGGAAACUUGAGUGCAGAAGAGGAGAGUGGAAUUCCACGUGUAGCGGUGAAAUGCGUAGAGAUGUGGAGGAACACCAGUGGCGAAGGCGACUCUCUGGUCUGUAACUGACGCUGAGGGGCGAAAGCGUGGGGAGCGAACAGGAUUAGAGACCCCGGUAGUCCCUGUCUCUUAUAC